GCCUCUCCCGCCGGCGCGCGCCCGCUGGGCCGCAGUAGAAUCGCCGACGCCCCCGGUGACCGGGGCCGCGGCCUCCAGUUUCCUCCCGGGCCUGCACCAGGCGGCCCUAGCGCACCGGGGGGCGAGGACAAGAGUGCCGUGCGCGCGCGGGCCACGCACGGGGAGACGCCGAGGCUUGGGGCUCGCGAGCCCCCGCUCUGCAGGGAGACGCCAAGAAAACACACCCUCUGCCCGGUGCUGAACCCUUUAUCCUUUGGGAUAAUCGGUGUCUGGAGGGCACCAGGUCCUUUGGUCUUGAGAACAGAGCUUGGAGAUACACCCCAGCUCGCCAAAGACUGGCUUACACUAAAUCACACUGCGCUGACUUGCCACGGCCAAAUCCAAAUGCCCCAAACCCCAGAUGGACUUCGGAUGCAAGCAGGCCAGAGAUUUCAGCUACCUUCCAUUCCUCGUGGGUUUGUUCAGCCCAUGUGGACGGGAUCCCGAGGUCAGUCCGAGUGGAUUGAAUCUCGUUUUUAUAAAUAAGGUUGACAUAGAGAGGCAUAUUUGCUAGUUAUGUCCGACUCAAUUAUUACUACAAGGAAUGGUUGAAAGUGGUGAAGGUAAACAAAUUAUUGAUGAAUCUGGAGAUGCUGAAGACACGUGUUAUUAAAAUUUAUGUCAGAAAGUAUGGGAGAGUUGUUAUUGGGGUGGUUAAGGGCAAGGCAGUUUUAUUAUUUUGUUUUUUUCUUCCAAGUAUCUUUCAAAUUUGAAGUGUAACAACUGAAUCUGACUAUUAAGAAUUUAAACUUCAGUCCUGCAAAUGCCCAAUUAAAAGAUUUUUUUUUCCAAUAAAGCCUUGGAGCUAAA